rnacentral:rRNA from 1 species
GACGAACGCUGGCGGCGUUCUUAACACAUGCAAGUCGUACGGAAAGGCCCUGCUUUUGUGGGGUGCUCGCGUGGCGAACGGGUGAGUAACAAGUGAGUAACCUGCCCUUGACUUUGGGAUAACUUCAGGAAACUGGGGCUAAUACCGGAUAGGAGCUCCUGCUGCAUGGUGGGGGUUGGAAAGUUUCGGCGGUUGGGGAUGGACUCGCGGCUUAUUAGCUUGUCGGUGGGGUAGUGGCUUACCAAGGCUUUGACGGGUAGCCGGCCUGAGAGGGUGACCGGCAACAUUGGGAAGGAGAUACCGCAGAGACUGAUACGGGAGGAAGAAGUGGGGAAUAAUGAACAAUGGGGGGAAGACGGAUGAAGCAACGCGGCGUGCGGGAUGAAGGAGUUCGAAUUGUAGACAGCUUUCGCCUGUGACGAAGCGUGAGUGACGGUAAUGGGUAAAGAAGCAGAGGAUAACUACGUG